GGCCUCAGCUGGGGCGCGGCCAGCCCCCUCCCCCGCCCUCCGCGAGGUCUCGGGGGAGCUCGCAGCCAAUCCCCGCCGCCCCCGGCGGGCUCGCCCCGACCCGGGCCGCGCCGCGCCGGCUCCGGCGGGCCUGUGCCCGGGCCGGCUCGCUCCCUCGCGCUUCUCCUUCGCUCCCUUCCCCACGACAAAAGUUUUUAAACUUCGGUGAACUCGCCCAGGGAACUUUCUUAAAGGGGCCGCGCGCUGUCCCGCCCGCGGGACCUGCAGCCCAGAGCCAGGCGCCCCCGGGUCCCUGUGCAUCCGCGCUCCAGAGCGCCCGCGGCGGGGCUCCGGGGUCGCCGGCGCCCUUUGUGUUCUGCUCGAGGGCUGGGGUGUCGCGUCCUCCUCGCGCCCCCACACACCCAGCCGCCCAGUCCAGGUCCACCCUCUCUCCCAGCGCCCGGCCGCGGGGGGCGGGGUUCUGGGACUGCUGCGGGGGAGGGGACCAACACCUGGGCUUUGGCCCUCACUCGGCCUUGUUUUGCUGCGUGACCUUGAGGAAACCACUUCCCCUCUCUGGCCUCAGGCUCCCGGCCCAGAAGGAGGGACUUGGGAUCGCAGACUCCGGCCCCGGAGGCGAAUCUUCGGGACCCUGUGGUUGUUAGCUCGGCGAGCAGGUCCGUCCGCCCGCCUCCUGGCGGCUUUGGGGUCUUCUCACUCCCUUGCUCCGGGGCCUGCGCACCCCUCACACUUUCCGGUGUUCCUGCGGGGGAGGGAGAGCAGCCCCGCGCGCGGCCCGGGCGGGGUCGUCUGGCUCCUAGCAGCCCCGGGUGGGUUUUCUUCCGUUGUGACACGCACCGCCGAGGGCUGGCCCGGGCCUCUGCAGUCCCCUUGUGGGAAGCCUGGCCGAGUCCCGGGGCCCUGAGCGCCCCGCUCCCGGACUCCUGCUGCGGCCCGGGAACUCCGGCCGGGAGCCUCCCGGGCGGGCGUCACCGUGUGUGGUCAACGCCCGCCCAGCGCCAGCGUUCUGUCCUGACUUAACCCGCCGAGUUAGAUCUUAGCACCUGGGCUUUAGGCGGAAAGCGACGGGCGGUGGCAGUGGCCUUGGAAGAGCCGAGUGUGCAUCCCAGACCUCGGACAUGUGGCUCGGCCUCAGUGUGUCCACCUGCUCGGUGGGGCUCGCCCCACCGCGCCGGGAGUGCCGGGGCGGGGCUUGGUCUCCGCGGUAAAUUGCAGAGUAAGUCUCCAUCCCGUCCUGCGGGCUUUUACUCAGGUCCCGGAUGUGGCAGGUGCAUCCUGGCAGAGGGAGCAUUUUGGUGGACAGGUGCAGGGCCCAAGCACUUGGGCCAUCCUCCACUGCACUCCCGGGCCACAGCAGAGAGCUGGACUGGAAGAGGAGCAACUGGGACAGAACUGGCGUCCCAACUGGUACUAGAACCCGGGAUGCUGGCGCCGUGUCUCACUUGGCUAAUCUUCUCUCUGCCUUUCAAAUACGUGGAUCUUGAAAAAAUCAACAGAAGGCGGGCCGAGGAAAGGAGAGGAGACCCAUGGGGAGGAUGGGGGGAUGGGAAGAAACCAGGCAGACCUUCCAAGGUCAUUCAGGAUUUAAACCGGGCUGACUUGGCAAGAACCCCAGGACCUUAGUGGAUGAAGCCACCACUCCCGGAUCUGGAGUUUCAGUUCCAGCUCCGACACUUCUGAUCCAGCUCCCUGCUGAUGCGCGUCCUGCGAGGCACUGGUGACGGCUCAAGUACCUGAGUCCCUGCCACCCUGGCUCCUGGCUCCUGGCUCCAGCGUGGCCCAGCCCAGACUACUGUGGGUAUUGGGUGAACCGGUGGAUGGAAGGUUUUUCUCUGGGUGUCUUUCCCUGUCACUAAGUAAACACUGAAAAAAUGGCCCCUUAGGAGCCUGUGUUGUGGUACAGGGAGUUAAGCUCCCACUUGGGAUGCCUGUUCCAGUGGUCCAGCCCUGGCCAUUGAGGCCAUUUGGGGAGUAAACCAGUGGAUGGAUCUCUCUCUGUCUUCUUAAUUUGUUGCUCUUCCUUUUAAAUAAUUAAAAAUUAAAGAGAACCCCCCCCCUUUGAAAAACCCAGGACCCUGUAUGUGGGACUUGGGUUUCAGAGCCAGCUGGCCAUGUGGCCUUGGCCAUGGGAGAUUAGGUUCGUGUGUCCAUCAGAUGGGGGCAGUCGUCCCGCCUCCUCUCAGGGUUAUUGUGGGGAAUAAGCUGGAGGGCCAAUGAACACAAACCACAAGGCACCCAAGGGAAGCUUAACAAAGGAGCUUGCCCACUGGACAGGAACUCAAGCCCCAGCUCCGGAAGACAGAGGGUUGCCAGGUCUCUGGGAGGGGACAGAGUGACCUCUUGGCGCCACCUGGUGGUCUACAGUGUGUGUGGUGCGUUGGGAGCUCUGGGAUUGGGGAUCUGAGCGUGGCCAUUGAUCAGUGGGGGCAGGGAAGUAUACCAGGACUUCAGAGGAGAUGGGGUCAUCGCUAGCAGGCCAGCCCACCUGUCCUGCCAUCUCAGCCUCUCAAAGUCCCCUCCCCACAUCUUGUUCCCCUCGCACCAGCUUCAGUUCCAGUUCUGCCACCAAGUAGCCUUCCUGGCCUCGGCCACCUCUAGGAACCCAUCACUGACCGUGACCUCUUUGAUUUACUGAAGCGUCUACAGUGCUCUGAUGUGGGAUGCCAGUGUCUCUGGCAGCAGCUUACACCGCUGUGCCACGAUGCUGCCCAGUAUUCCCCUCCCCGCCUUUUUUCUUUUUUCUUUUUUUUUUUUUUUGAGAGGCAGAGAUAUAGACAGGCAGGGGAAGAAAGCUCCCAAAUUUGGUUCACUCCCCCAGAUACUUGCAAUGGCCAGGGCCAAAGUCAGGAGCCAGGAAUUCAAUACAGGUCUCCCUUGUUGGUGGCAGGAACCCAGUAUCUCUCUCUUUCUCUCUCUCUCUCUCUCUCUCUUUUUAAGAUUUAUUUAUUUAUUUCAAAGGCAAAGUUACACAGAGAGAGAGAGAGAGAUCCUUUAUCCACUGGCUCACUACCCAAAUGGCUGCAAUGGCAGGAGAUGUAUUUUACUUACUUGAAAUAGUUCUAGAAAGAGUGGGAGAGGGGGAGGGAGAGGGAGAGGUCUUCCAUCCUCUGGUUCACUCCUCAAAUAGCCGCAAUGGCCAGAGCUGGGCAGAUCUAAAGCCAAGAGCCUGGAGCUUCUUCUGGUUCUCCCAUGUAGGUGCAGGGGCCCAAGGACUUGGGCCAUCUUCCACUGCUCUCCCAGGCCAUAGCAGGGAGCUGGAUCAGACGUGGAGGAACCGAGACUCAAACCAGCACCCAUAUGGGAGGCUGCAGCUUCACCUGUGACUCCAUGGCGCCGGUCCCGGAACCCAGUAUCUUGGGCCAUCAGCACAACAUAUUAGCGGGAAGCUGGAGCCAGGAACUGAAUCCAGGUACCCCAAUGUGGGAUACAGGCAUCUUAACCACUAGGCUAAACACCUGGUCCCUUAUCAAGCUUCUGGGGAAACAGAAGCUAGUUUGUUGAUGAUCCCUUCCUCAUCAGAACAUCCAAGCUGGAGCCUCAGCAAGGCCACCAGCGGCUUCCGACACGGCGCAGGCCCGGGUUUCUCAGCGUGUGGAUUCCAUAGCGUGCCCCUGUCUGAACACUGGGUGACAGUGACUCACCUGGUCAUUUCAUUGCUCGUCAUUAACCUCUCCAAAUGACCAGUGCUACAAACACACCCUCACAUAAGGGUGCUGUGAU